GGUAUAUAUCCUUACUCCCAGUGCCCCUUUUGCUGCUCAGGUUUUCUAUGCUGGAACACCCAGAUUCAGCACGACUUAGAAGGGUAUUCCGUGAAGGGUUGUAAGAAAAGAAGAAAUCUCAAAAUUCUGUUUGACUUAUCUUUUCCUCCUUUGUUUUUGGUGUCAUCCUGGUGAAACCUGGGAGAAAAGGGCAUGCCAAAGGCCCUUCCAGACAGAAGUAGGCAUCUGCCAACGAAAUCUAUAAGAACAAUCUGAGAAGUGAUGCUUGUGCGGAUUAUUGAUUUUUUGCCUUUCGGCUUCAAAUUCACCCUUUUUUACUGCACUGUGAAAAUGGAUCUGGGCCUUUUAAAUAGGUUUUUCUUUGCCUUCUGGGACUGAAGCUUUGUCAGUAGAGGGCGCUGAAGAGAUAUUACAGGAAGAAAAGAACUCUGUGCUUCCUGAUUUUGGUGUAUUGGUAGGCAGGUUCUUGCUGCAUACCUAGGUUUCCUCAGCUCUGAACUCCUGUAUGGCUUGGUGGCCAGAACAGUUUUAUAGUGUGAGACACUACUCCAUAAAUAGCUUCCCUGGCACCCGGGAGGAAAUUUGCAUCAAGUUCCAGAAGGCAUAUUUUCAACAAGUUUUGCAGACUUAGCACCAUAGUGACUUCUCUACUAUUCAAUUAGCCAGCCUUUGACUCUCCAAAUAAAGUCUAGAUCUUAGUUGUAGGAGGGACAGGGGAUCUUCCUUAGCCCCUCUAUCACUCAGCCCAAGGAUUAGUUAUGAGGUUAGCUCCCUGGUAGCUACUAUGUCUAUAUUUUCUAGGUUUCUUUUUUUUAUAUGUAUACAUAUUUUAGUUGUAGAUGGACAUAAUGCCUUUAUUUUAUCUUUGUGUGGUGCUGAGGAUGGAACCCAGUGCCUUCCACAUGCAAGGCAAGCACUCUACAACUGAGCCACAAUCCCAGCCCCUCUCUAAGGCUCUUUUUACUAGUGAAUCCCUCAUUAAUCAAAUCUCCUAUUAUAGUUAAUAAUUAUUUUUAUCAAGACUUUCCUGUCUAGGAAAUAGGCCACAUGAGAUAGACCUGCAAAGAUGAACUUGAGCUCCUUGCCAAAGAGAGGUGGAAUCUAGUCAUUCAUGGCAUGCAGAGCAUCUCAAUUAAGUAAUCACCUAUGGUUUAUUCUGAUGAAGUGCCAACUAAAGCAAGAAGCUUGGGGACCAAGUACCAGCUACAUUUGACAGCUGGGGCUAUAAAGGUGAUUAUCAGGACUAUGGUACAGAAAGAUUCUUUUGAGUGCUUCUGAAUACUUAUAAACAGAAAUGACAAGCACAGAUGCAUUAUUAACACUUGGAGUUAUGGUGUAAGAACCAAAAAGAUUUUAUAGAAAUUCUGAAAUAUGGGGCUGGGGAUGUGGCUCAAGCGGUAACGUGCCCAACUGGCAUGUGCCGGGCACUGGGUUCAAUCCUCAGCACCACAUAAAAAUAAAAUAAAGAUGUUGUGUCCACUGAAAACUGAAAAAUAAAUAUUAAAAAGUUCUCU
rnacentral:lncRNA from 1 species